AAAAGAUUUGACCGACCGCACGGGCACAGUAGCUGAAAAUAGUUCCAUGAGUUUUGGCCCUGCGGUCGGUCUCAGUUCCCUUGUAAAAAGUCACGAAAGUCUUUGUCAUCCAUGCUUGCCUUUGCAUUCGAAUGAAUCCCCUCAUUCGCGGGAUUCAUCCUACCGACUGCUGGGCUGUUCAUGCGUAAGAUUCUUCCCUUUCCG